rnacentral:tRNA from 1 species
GACUCCAUGGCCUAAUGGAUAAGGUGCUGGUCCAUGAAACCAGAGAUUCUUGGUUUGAUCCCCAGUGGACUCG